GUUGUUGCCUGUGAAUGGUAAAGUUGUUGCAAAAAUGGUAAAUGUGUUGCUUUUUUUACCGAUUUGGUAAAGUUGUUGCCCAAAGCAACAACUUUCCAUAUGAAAAUUGGUAAAUGUGUUGUCAUCACCAUUGACAAUACACACGAGCCUGCUCCUGCGUGUAUUAUCGCAUAGACUUUAAAAGAGACUACCAAGGCGCUUGAUGGAUGCGCAUGCUGCAUGCAUGGAGUCCUACAUAUAUGUAUGUACAGUUUGACAGAAUGAUGGUGUUAUGGCAGAUGAAUGAGAUGAGAAUUACGAAUGGAGGUGCUCCCAGUGAUUCCAGAGCUGUUCUUCCAAGAGAGUGUCAACUAGCACUGAGCCUGGAUGUAAGGAUGUUCCUUCUGGAUCAAGAAGCGAUUUGAUUGUGGAGCCUGGAUGUAAGGAUGUUCCUUCUGGAUCAAGAAGCGAUUUGAUUGUGCUUACUGUUGUACAAAGUUGGCAACCGAGUAUUGGGGAAGCAGUUGUGCACACAACGUGUCCUUCAGCGUAGACUCCUCUAACCAGAUGGAGAGCAGACAAUGAUCAAGCUCAUUUUACAGGCUGCCCUUUCAAAUGCGUCCAAGAUGAAGAAAAGGCCAUUUCGAGCAUUGACCAAUGCUGUGUAUGACCCGAUGUCUAGGAAAGGACCCCUAGGAUGCUCAGCGAAGGCUUUCUACAAAAAAUUAAUCAUGUAACACUAAGGAAUCUGUCACUUGUCAACAAAAUAAAAUGGCAUUGUAUUUUCAUCUGUUCGCCUGUUCAAUGCAGGGACCUAUUUGCCUUCUAUGCAAGGGGGGGGGGGGGGGUUAUGUAUAACCUGUAUUCCCUGGUCCGGGCAAGAAAGUAAUACUGUUCGCCUGUUCAAUGCACGGAGUAGUGUCGCCUUUUUUAUGGCCGGGGGGGGGGGGGGGGGGGGGGGGGGGGGGGGGGUGUGUACAAAAGUCUUGUCUGUUGGUGGCCACGAUGCAGAGAGUACUUAGAGUUGGACAUGGUAGCUCCAUGCUCCAAUGUAUGCAUAUGCAGAUACUUGUAUAAAUGGAUCGAAAAAUUAAUACCUGGGUCCUUCCUAGGGGUGGAU